rnacentral:rRNA from 1 species
AGUGAACGCUGGCGGUAGGCCUAACACAUGCAAGUCGAACGGCAGCACAGUAAGAGCUUGCUCUUACGGGUGGCGAGUGGCGGACGGGUGAGGAAUACAUCGGAAUCUACUUUUUCGUGGGGGAUAACGUAGGGAAACUUACGCUAAUACCGCAUACGACCUACGGGUGAAAGCAGGGGAUCUUCGGACCUUGCGCGAUUGAAUGAGCCGAUGUCGGAUUAGCUAGUUGGCGGGGUAAGGGCCCACCAAGGCGACGAUCCGUAGCUGGUCUGGGAGGAUGAUCAGCCACACUGGAACUGAGACACGGUCCAGACUCCUACGGGAGGCAGCAGUGGGGAAUAUUGGACAAUGGGCGCAAGCCUGAUCCAGCCAUACCGCGUGGGUGAAGAAGGCCUUCGGGUUGUAAAGCCCUUUUGUUGGGAAAGAAAAGCAGCAGGUUAAUACCCCGCUGUUCUGACGGUACCCAAAGAAUAAGCACCGGCUAACUUCGUG